rnacentral:rRNA from 1 species
AAUCAACGCUGGCGGCGUGCCUCAGACAUGCAAGUCGAACGCUGCUGUUCGCCUUCGGGUGGACAGCGGAGUGGCGCACGGGUGAGUAACACGUAGGUAAUCUACCUUUGGGUGGGGAAUAACAGCCGGAAACGGCUGCUAAUACCGCAUAAUGCAGCGGCAUCACAUGAUGACAGUUGUUAAAGCGAGGGAUCGUAAGACCUCGCGCCUGAAGAGGAGCCUGCGGCAGAUUAGGUAGUUGGUGAGGUAAUGGCUCACCAAGCCUGCGAUCUGUAACCGGCCUGAGAGGGCGGUCGGUCACACUGACACUGACAUACGGGUCAGACUCCUACGGGAGGCAGCAGUCGGGAAUUUU